rnacentral:lncRNA from 10 species
GGAGAGUUUAUAGGCUUUAAAAGGCCAUGCUGUAACAGGUGACUGAUAACAGGCUUUAAUCUUUUUAAAGCGCACUGCGGGAUGGGAUAUUGGCAUUGAGCAGGGUAAGGGUGAUUAGGUUUUAAUGAGAUGGUAAGGGUUGCAUGAUCAGUCGCCAAGGAGGGAGUAGAGGUGUCUUAUACUUGUGGGUUAAGGUGGGGGGAUAAAAGAGGAGGAUGCAAAGGAGGCUUUGGAUUGGGAAGAAGGGUGGCAAUGAGAUGUAGCUAUAGUCCAGGAAUAGUCAGGGAAGCAGAUAAAGUGUCUCAGCCUAAUAAGGGAACUGGGCAGGUGGGGAUAACUAAAAAGGAGUGCAUUAAAGAGUAUUGUCUAAGUUGGCACCAGAGUUGGGGAGUUUUAAGAGGUUUAUAAGCUUGGCUGUCAAUACCCACAACAGUUAUGGAGGCAAGGGAAACAGGCCCUUGAAAAGAAGGUAAUGUGGAGUGGGUAGGCUUUGUAUUGAUUAAGAAGGGGACAGACUUACCCUUCACUGUGAGAGUUACCAAAAGCUCGGCAUCCGUGAUGGUCUAAGGGGCUUCUGAGGCGAUCGGGCAGUGUCCCUGCAAUGAUUAAACACCAAGAGAAGGCUGCCUUUCCAGUCCAUGACCGGCGCCAGAGUUUUGGGUCCACGGGUAAAACGUGUCUCCUUUGUUUCUACCAGAAAAUGAAAGGAAUUGAAAUGAAGAGAAGGGAGAGAUUGAAGUGUGGC